GGGGAAUAUUGCGCAAUGGGGGAAACCCUGACGCAGCAAUACCGCGUGAGUGAAGAAGGUUUUCGGAUCGUAAAGCUCUGUUAUUGGGGAAGAACCAGUACGUCAGGCAAUGGACGUACCUUGACGGUACCUUAUUAGAAAGCCACGGCUAACUACGUGCCAGCAGCCGCGGUAAUACGUAGGGGACAAGCGUUGUCCGGAUUUACUGGGCGUAAAGGGCACGCAGGCGGUUUUUUAAGUCAGAUGUGAAAGGUACCGGCUCAACCGGUGACAUGCAUUUGAAACUGAAAGACUUGAGUAUUGGAGAGGCAAGUGGAAUUCCUAGUGUAGCGGUGAAAUGCGUAGAUAUUAGGAGGAACACCGGUGGCGAAGGCGGCUUGCUGGACAAACACUGACGCUGAGGUGCGAAAGCGUGGGGAGCAAACA
rnacentral:rRNA from 1 species